AGCAAUAAUCACUAUACAUUUUAACGUUUCACGAGUACACCGAGUAAAUAGGUUUAUGCCUACAUAUGUUAUUGAAAGGUUUUAUUACUGCAGCCGAAAUAAAAAAUAUAAACAAAAUUCUUUUCGCCCAUUACCGCUAUUUUUUGUGAGGGGGGAGGAAGAUGGUCGGUGCCGAAAAAAUAUUUCGACCGACGGCAGUUAAUUUUCACCGCCCGUUUUUAACGGGAGGCUAUUAUUUUUUUUUAAACGAGUCGCACGAUAUUAUAAUUAUUAUGAUGUGCACACAUUGCACACACUGGUAACUUUAUUCAUUCACUUUAUACGCAAGAAUUAUUCGGAUUGUAAUAAUUUUGAAUUCCAAGCAAGAACGCUAUACGAAUUGUUUCGGGUUUUUUUUUUUUUUUUAGUGCGGAUAGUCUUUAUUUUCUAAAUACACUACUUGAAGCAUAAUAUUAUUAAAAAAUAAUUAUUACUCCCGAAAUUAUAUACACGCCAUCUAUUUUACAUUGAUAUGAAUCGUUUUUUUAGAAGCAAAGUAAUAAUUCAUCAAAGGUACUCAUACUAAUUAGUUUUUCUGUAACUAAACUUUUUUUUUUUUUAGAUUCCGAGUGUAGCGAAGAAUUUAUUGAUUUACACAGAUGUUUAUUUUUUUUUCUACUAUAUACAAAAAUUCUAGUACCAGAAAUUCCGAAAUAUUAAAUAAAGUACCUUUUCUGGAUUUUCUUGGGGUGGUCCUUUUUAGGAGGUUAUUUCUUGAUUUUUCUAGGAGUUUUCCCAAUAAAUAGAAAAAUCCGAGAAGAUUUACGAAAAUAAUGCUUUUAUUUUUUUCAAUUAUGUUUUUUGAUUGUAAUUUAGUUAAAAAUAUUUAUAGAAACUGGUUGUAUUAUAAUCAAAAAUUAAUAAUAAUAAUAAUAAUAACAAAUUAAAAAUUAGACAAACC